UAACGGCGAGUGAAGCGGCAACAGCUCAAAUUUGAAAUCUGGCGCCUGCGCCCGAGUUGUAAUUUGCAGAGGAUGCUUCCUGCGCGGUGCCUUCCGAGUUCCCUGGAACGGGACGCCAAAGAGGGUGAGAGCCCCGUACGGUCGGCAACCAAGCUCUUGUGUGGCACCUUCGACGAGUCGAGUAGUUUGGGAAUGCUGCUCUAAAUGGGAGGUAAACUCCUUCUAAAGCUAAAUAUUGGCCAGAGACCGAUAGCGCACAAGUAGAGUGAUCGAAAGAUGAAAAGCACUUUGAAAAGAGAGUCAAACAGCACGUGAAAUUGUUGAAAGGGAAGCGCUUGUGACCAGACUUGGGCCUGGUAGUUCAGCCGUCCUUCUGGGCGGUGCACUCUGCCGGUUCAGGCCAGCAUCAGUUGUCGGUUGGGGAGAAAGACGACGGGAAUGUGGCUCCUCGGAGUGUUAUAGCCCGGCGUUAUGCCCUUCCGGCGACUGAGGACUGCGCAUCUGCACGGAUGCUGGCGUAAUGGUCAUCAGCGACCCGUCUUGAAACACGGACCAAGGAGUCAUCCUGGCAUGCGAGUGUUUGGGUGUUAAACCCCUACGCGAAAUGAAAGUGAACGGAGGUGAGAGCUUCGGCGCAUCAUCGACCGAUCCUGAUGUUCUCGGAUGGAUUUGAGUAAGAGCAUGUCGGGCUGGACCCGAAAGAAGGUGAACUAUGCUUGGAUAGGGCAAAGCCAGAGGAAACUCUGGUGGAGSYUCGCAGCGGUUCUGACGUGCAAAUCGAUCGUCAAAUCUAAGCAUGGGGGCGAAAGUAAGUACAUUUUCUAUUAUUUAAUUUAGUUCGCGAUAGCGAAUCUUGAAAUGAAACAGAGUGCUAAC
rnacentral:rRNA from 1 species